CUUGUGGAUCUUGGGGAAGAGGUUGAAAUGUGCUGUGCAGGAAUGGAGGAUCAUAAAGCUGGAAGCUGGGGAAGGAAGAUCCCCAAGGAACUAAGCAGGAGUUCUUUCUUGUCAAAGCGUACACCGAGAUUUUGAUAUUUUGCGCUUUCACUGAGUAGCUGAGAAAGCAGCAAUGAAAGGAUCUAGAAAAGAAACCACACACAAUGAGGUUCAAGACCAAGCCAAGGCAGAUAGCAUGGGUUCUGAACUGAGUGACAAUGAUACUUCACCUCCAGUUUCUGGAAAUGCACUUCAGUCACCUGUCACUACAAGUACUUGGGCGCAGCGUGGAAGGAAUAAAGAUUUGCUGCUCUGUGACGAAAGCAACGUUUCACAGAUGUGUGAUUCUAGCAAAGAGGAGGCAAAUUCAGCUCAGGUGCCUUUAGGGAAACACAAUGAUACUCUUGUCUACACUCCUACAGAACAAAGCCCAAAGUCUUUACGGUACGGCAUCAAUAACGUUGGACUGGAGGCCAACCUGAGUGAACUAUUUCCUUUACCAGUUGGGAUCAGCAAUGUCUAUAUCAAUAUUGUUGGCAUGACUUGCCAGUCAUGUGUGCAGUCAAUAGAGGGACACAUUUCUAAACAGAAUGGCAUUGUUAGUAUUAGGGUCUCUCUCAAACACAAUACUGCUCUGGUGCAGUAUGAACCAACGAUAAUCACCGCUCAACAGAUAUGUGAGGCAAUUGAUGACAUGGGCUUUGAAGCAUUUCUCUCUAAUCAAGAUCCACCACUGCUUGAGAAGAAAGUUCAUUUACCCAUUGAAGCAAUGGUGAAAAUGAAGGUGGAAGGCAUGACUUGCCAUUCUUGUGUAAGUUCAAUUGAAAACAAAAUCGGAAAGCUGCAUGGUGUGAAUCGAGUCACAGUCUCCCUUAACAACCAAAAAGCAGUUAUAAUUUACCAGCCUCAGGUGAUUCAACCCGAAGAGCUUCAAAACCAAAUUAAUGACGCGGGUUUUCAAGCAACGAUCAAGAGCAGGACAAGCUCUCUAAAACGAGGUGUGAACAGCGCACAAGAUGGUAAACAAAAUAAAGCAGUGAAAUCAAAGAAGGUGGCAUCACAUUCUGUCAGGAACCCCAUGACAGUAACUUUCUGCAUAGAGGGGAUGCAUUGCAAGUCCUGUGUCUCUAAUAUUGAAGGGAAUGUCAGCGAGCUCCCAGGAGUGCAGAGUAUCACAGUGUCUUUGGAGGAAAAAAAAGCUAUUGCAAAGUAUGAUCCUCUCUUGACUAAUCCAACAUCAUUAAAAUCAGCUAUAGAGGCUUUACCACCAGGAAAAUUUAAAGUAUAUCUUCCAAAUGGAAUGGAAAUGAGAAGUGAGCCUUUUUCGUCAAUUCCACUGACACCAUUAAUACACGAGCCAAAUGGUAGUACUCAAAAGCACUUUCAAACUUCCACCAUCACAACUGCUUUCAACAUUGGAGGAAUAGCUCAUAAUUUUUGCAUCCAGUCUAUAGAGAGUGAGAUCUCCAAAAGAAAAGGGGUGAAAUCAAUUGAAGUUUCACCAGCCGAAGAGCAAGCAACAAUCCACUUUGACCCAGCAUUAACAAAUUCAGAGGAACUGAAAACUGCCAUAAAUGAGAUGGGAUUUAUUGCCUCUGUGUCUGAGUCUUCAAGUCAUUCCAAUGCAAGAAACAAUGAACAGUCUGCUGAAAGGAAGAAUCAAGCUUUGCCAUCUAAAGAUUAUGCCCUUGAGUUUCUACCCUCCAGAACCAGAUCCAAUAACCAAAAUAAUGAAGACCAUGUGGCAAAAGAAAAAUGUUUCCUACAGAUCACUGGUAUGACUUGUGCUUCUUGUGUUGCUAACAUUGAAAGAAAUCUUCAAAAAGAAGAAGGUAUACAUUCCGUUCUGGUAGCACUAAUGGCAGGAAAAGCAGAAAUAAAAUAUAACCCGGAUAUCAUCCAACCUACUGCUAUUGCAGAAUUAAUCAAAGAUUUAGGAUUUGGUGCUACUGUGAUAGAAGACACAUCUUCAGCUGGAAACCUAGAACUCAAUGUUACAGGAAUGACUUGUGCUUCUUGUGUUCACGAUAUUGAAUCAAACUUAACAAGAGCUGACGGCAUUUUGUAUGUGUCAGUAGCCCUUGCCACCAGCAAAGCCUACAUCCAACUGGAUCCAGAGAAAUUGGGCCCACGUGAUAUCAUCAGAAUAAUUGAGGGACUUGGCUUUGGAGCAUCUUUGGUCAAAAGAGAUACAGCAGUACACAAUCUGGAUCAUAAAGAGGAAAUAAGACAGUGGAGGAAGUCCUUCUUAUUUAGCCUUAUUUUUGGCAUCCCUGUCUUUGGCCUAAUGAUAUACAUGAUAGUGAUGGACAAGCACAGUGGCUCCAUGCCUCCAGAACAAAAUAUUAUUCCGGGUUUAUCGACUCUCAAUCUGGCUUUCUUUGUUCUGUGUACUCCUGUUCAGUUUAUUGGAGGAUGGUACUUCUACGUACAAGCCUACAAGUCUCUAAAGCAUAAAACUGCCAAUAUGGAUGUGCUCAUCGUUCUGGCAACUACCAUUGCAUAUCUGUACUCCUGUGUAAUACUGAUUGUGGCCAUCGCUGAAAGGGCAGAACAAAGUCCAGUGACUUUCUUUGAUACUCCACCAAUGCUGUUUGUCUUCAUUGCCUUGGGGAGAUGGCUGGAGCAUGUAGCAAAGAGUAAGACUUCAGAAGCUCUUGCUAAGCUGCUAUCCCUUCAAGCUACAGAGGCAACAGUGGUAACCCUGGGACCAGACAAUUCAAUACUGGGUGAGGAGCAGGUAGCUGUGGAACUGGUCCAAAGAGGUGAUGUUAUAAAGGUCGUCCCCGGUGGCAAGUUUCCUGUGGAUGGAAAGGUAGUGGAAGGUUCCUCUAUGGCAGACGAAUCUCUCAUUACAGGUGAACCCAUGCCAGUUGUCAAAAGAGCAGGAAGUAUAGUGAUUGCUGGUUCUAUUAAUGCACAGGGGACUCUGCUGAUUCAAGCUACCCAUGUGGGUUCAGACACAACCUUGUCACAGAUCGUUAAACUAGUAGAGGAAGCACAGACAUCAAAGGCACCAAUUCAGCAACUUGCAGAUAAAUUGAGUGGAUAUUUUAUUCCUUUUAUUGUUAUCCUUUCUGUGGUUACUCUCAUCACUUGGAUCAUCAUUGGUUUUGUUAACUUCGACUCCAUGAAAACACAUUUGUCGGGCUACAACAAGAAUAUUUCUAAAGCUGAGCUGAUCGUCCGGUUUGCAUUUCAGACCUCCAUUACAGUUUUGUCUAUUGCAUGUCCAUGUUCCCUGGGACUGGCGACGCCAACAGCUGUGAUGGUGGGUACAGGUGUGGGGGCUCAAAAUGGCAUUCUCAUCAAGGGUGGAGAACCACUGGAGAUGGCACACAAGAUAAAAGUAGUGAUGUUUGACAAGACUGGUACGAUUACACAUGGUGUUCCAAAGGUAAUGAGGGUUCUCAUACUGAGAGAUCUAGCUGAACUGCCAUUGAAGAAACUGCUUGCAGUUGUUGGCACCGCAGAAGCCAGCAGUGAACAUCCUCUUGGAAAUGCCAUCACUAAAUAUUGUAAAGAAGAACUUGGGACAGACGUGCUUGGGUACUGUAUGGACUUUCAGUCUGUUCCGGGCUGUGGCAUUAGCUGCAAAAUUACCAAUAUUGAAACAGUGUUGAGGGAAAGUGAACGAAAUCUCAACAAACAAGGGGAACAAAGCACACAUUUAAUGCAGUUUACUGACUCACCUGCCACACCGUUCUCGCAGAUUACUGAAGGAGAAGGUGCAGUGGCUUCCCAGGUCUACUCUGUGUCCAUUGGAAACCGGGAGUGGAUGAUGCGCAAUGGAUUGCAUGUUGGAAUUGAUGUUGAUGAGGCUAUGAUUAAUCAUGAAACCAAAGGACAGACUGCAGUGCUGGUGGCAAUUGAUGGUGCGCUGUGUGGGAUGAUUGCAAUUGCAGAUACUGUCAAACCCGAAGCAGCCCUGGCUGUGUGCACCUUGCAAAGUAUGGGAGUAAAUGUGGUGCUCUUAACAGGAGACAACUGCAAAACAGCAGCAGCAAUUGCCAGCCAGGUUGGCAUCAAGAAAGUGUUUGCAGAAGUUCUUCCCUCACAUAAAGUAGCCAAAAUUCAGGAGCUUCAGGAUCAGGGUAAAAUAGUUGCAAUGGUUGGAGAUGGGGUGAAUGAUUCACCUGCCUUGGCUAAAGCUGAUGUGGGAAUCGCCAUUGGAACAGGCACUGACGUGGCAAUUGAAGCAGCAGAUGUUGUGCUUAUAAGGAAUGACCUCCUGGAUGUUGUGGCGAGCAUUGAUUUAUCAAAAAAGACAGUUCGUCGAAUUAGAAUAAAUUUUAUAUUUGCCUUAAUUUAUAACCUGGUAGGAAUUCCUAUUGCUGCUGGUGGGGAGAGGUUUUCAAAGAUUAAUUUGUCACAAGCCAAUCUGCAAAUGGAGAUUGAGUAGUCAAGCAGGAAGUUCUUCACAAUCAGCACUCACAAGAGACUAUUCCAGUAUAAUCGUCUCAUCUUUGGCGUUGCAUCAGCUCCAGCAAUUUGGCAAAGAGCAAUGGACCAAAUAUGCCAAGAUAUCCCAGGAGCACAAUGUUACCUUGUUGACAUCAUUGUGUCUGGCAAGAAUGAUGAGGAGCACCUCCAGAACCUUGGUAAAGCAUUUACCAGGCUGAAUGAGUAUAGUCUGCAUGCAAAGAGAGAAAAAUGUGAGUUUUUCAAGAAUGAAAUCUCAUACUGUAGGCAUGUCAUAGACAUGCAUGACUUACAUAAGUCACAAGAGAAGAUUGAAGCAGUGCUACAGGCACCCAAACUGGAAAAUGUCUCACAACUCAGGUCAUACUUGGGCCAUGUAAACUACUACCACCAGUUUUCCCAAACAUUGCAUCCAUUGAACGCACUACUACAGACAGGAGCAAAGUGGGAAAGAUCAGAAAGAUCUGAAAAAGUAUUCAAGGAAACAAAGAGACUAAUAACAUCCAAUGAACUGCUCACCCAUUAUGACUUAUCUCCGCCCAUCAGACUGGUGUGUGAUGCGUCCCCUUAUGGCAUUGGAACCAUUUUAUCACACAUUAUGAAAGAUGGAUCUGAAUGCCUGAUUGCAUAUGCUUCAAGAUCACUGACGAACGCAGAACGCAUCUACACACAGAUCGACUAAAAGUCUAGUAUGCAAAAUAAAAAAAGUUCCACCACUACCUCUACAGUCAAAGGUUUAUACUAGUGAUAGAUCACCAGCCCCUUGUGUCCAUUUCCAAUCCCAGGAAGAGAAUUCCAGUGAUGACCGCUACCCGGUUACAACAUUGGGCACUAUUCCUGGGAACCCACUCUUAUGACAUAGAGUUCAAGGAUACCAAGCAACACAGCAAUGCUGAUGGCUUUACACUUUCUGUUCUUGGCAACCGAAGAAGAAAAGUCUUCAUACUGUGAUCCAACAGAAGUCUUCCACACCACAUCGGUGGACCAGUUGCCAGCAACAAAUUCCGAAAUGCAAAGGGAAGCAAGGAAUAACCCAACAUUGUCAAAAGCCUAUGAAAUCACCACGUAAGGAUGGCCAGAUCAUGGUAACCCUAUGAUUCUAGAGUUCUCAGCGAGACAAGACCAACUGUUGGUAUGUUAAAGAACACUGAUGUGUGGAUCUCGUGAUGUAGUUCCCUCAAAACUGUGCACCAGAGUGUUAGAAAAUCUGCAUGAAGACACCUGGAUACAGUCAAGAUGAAGAGUCUCACCUGCAUCUAUGUGCAGAGGCUGGGAAUAGAUAAACAGAUUGAAAGCUUGUCCGAAAGCUAUUUGGGAUGCCAAAAAGUUCAAAAUGCACCCCCACAAGCACCAUUACACCUGUGGAAGUGGUCAUCAUCACCGUGGCAAAAAGUACUGUGGUGAACUACAUAUACCUAUCUGGACACGCCCCCUGCUGACUGCUCCUGUGGCUCCUCCCACAGACCCCUGUAUAAAGGCGAUUGAGGUCUGAGCCCGGCCUCUCUGUCUCCAGGAUGUAGUACGGUGGUCAACCACUGCUUGUUCCUUCUUCCAGUCAAUAAAAGCCGAUAUCUCGCCUUUACAUCUCAGAGAGAGUUAUUGAUGGUGCAUCAAUUUUAUUGACUGGAAGUUUUAAUACAUGGAAACCGUUUUACAUCCGGAAAGAUUGGAUUUGGACCCCCAAGACCCUGGAGCGGCUCUUGCCUUUGAACUCUGGCUUGCAUGCUUCCAAUCAUACUUGGAGAAGGUUAGUGCAACUGAACCCGCUGUUAUGCACCGAAUUCUCCUCUCGAGGGUCACCCCAAAAGUUUACUCAUUUAUCAGGGACCUGCUGACCUAUGAAGGGGCACUGGACGCCCUCAAACGACAGUACCUGCGGCCGGUAAACACCAUCUACGCUUAGCUACCCGAAGGCAGCAGCCUGCAGAGUCGAGCGCCCAGUUUCUCCGAGCCCUACAGACACUUGUCCGAACUUGUGACUGCAAAACUCUCACAGCGGAACAGCAUGCGGAGCUGCUAGUACGAGAUGCCUUUGUUACGGGGAUCAGGUCAGUGUAUGUGCGCCAGCGGCUGCUGGAAAAUGCCGAUCUUACCUUACACUCGGCGAUCGAGACAGCCGACACGCUGGAGGCUGCUCUGCACAACGCUGAUGCUGUCCAGCCGCGUGAUUCCCCGCUGGUUCCGUGGACACCUCAGACCCUGCCGCUGCCGGUUCCCGUGAGCGAAUUCGCCAACACCACUGCCAGUCGUGAUUCCACGAACUCCCCGAACCCGACCACGGCUGUGGCCAGGCAAAAGCCCGAGCUGUGUUACUUCUGCGGACUUGAAAAGCACCCCCGAAAACGCUGUCCGGACCGAGAAGUGACCUGUUCCAGCUGUGGGAAGAAGGGCCAUUUUUCCAAGGUGUGUUUUUGCCUUUGGGCCUAGUUUUACAGCCAUGGAUGGGUUCUGCUGCAAUGGCUGCUUCCUCUGUUUCUGUGGUGGUUUCUUCAUUAUUGUUAAAACU